CCUUCGAUAGCUCAGUUGGUAGCGGAGGACUGUAGAUCCUUAGGUCGCUGGUUCGAAUCCGGCUCGAAGAA
rnacentral:tRNA from 1 species